UACUUAUCAGCCUCAACACGCUUUCCGCCGAGCUCUGGAAACCUUCCCUUUCAACAAAGAGCUCCUGCAGUUACUAUCAGUCAGUCGGAGUUUGCACAGGAGGGAAACCCGUUUACAGCCUCAGAGGUGAUGGAAGAUAAGCUGGUCUCUGGAGAGACCUUAACUUCGGUGACUGUAUUUGUGGACAGUGGAGUCGUGUGAGCCUUGCUUCACACUGCAGUGGGACUGGCUGUCCUCCCUCCGUGGUAGAGACCAAGGUCAGUUCUGCCCUGUGGUGUGGAUGCGCUGGACCUUUGUGCCUCUGCCGCGACAGCACACACACGUCCUCGUUAUCUAUUUCUUCAGAUGCAAAGAAGUCCCCUGAGGAACUCUCCGUUCAUGUACUGAAAUGGCCAUUCUGUUUCAUUUCACCAUCUGACGUGUCAUAAAAACCACCCAACUUCCUUUCUCCCUUCUCACACUAAGCCUACACAUGGGGAUAACUUGUGGUUCAUUGUGAAAGGGAAUUUUUCUGCAAGGAACUUUGCCUUUGGCUCGUCAAAUCACUUGGAAGCAGCUGCAAUUUGUGCAUUUGUUUAAAGCGUAAACAAAUGAUCACAAACAAUGCUAGAAUGGAUGUCCAGUCAUCCUCCCAUAUAACUCCCUUGAAAAAAAAAAAAAAAGCUGCUCUGCAGGUGGGCGCUUCUCCGGGGCAGCUGGAGGUCAAAUGACCGCCCAUAACUAGGAGAAUCUGGACGUGUGGCUUUGUGUGGAGAACAUGGGGCUGUGGCUUUAUUCAAGAACUCUGCCCAGAAGGCCUGGCAACCUUCUGUAGAGGAACAGGGGGAAAUGGAAGCUCCCAGCGCUUGUGACGAGUACAUAAAAUGAAAAUGACUUGCAAGUUGCUGGACACAUUUGAAUAUUGAGCUUUGAUAAAAAAUAAGGGGAGAAAUAGUGACACUAGUUUUCAAACAGGUAGAGUUUUAACAAAUCUGACGUUAGACCACCACUGGGAAAGGUUCCGAACACCACGUAGCAUGCGAGAAACGUGUCCCUUGCAGGACACGUGUCCCAGCAGGAAACACAGCUACGUCUGCAAGGGGUGUCUGCAGUGGUGAAGUCCAAGGGAAGUCCAAGUAGACUUGACCUUAACUCUGAGACCCAGAGACUUGGCUGCAGAGGUGGCGCACUCUCCCUCACAGGCAUGCACGUGAGUUAGGGGAGGUGCACUCCACCCCAAGGGGCCUGCAUGCCCCUGCGCCAGCUUCACAGCCUCAGCCCAUGUUCCUAAUGGAUGGGCGGCAGCACUCAUUGGUGCUGAGUCCAAAUGCCCUCAGCCCUUUAAUGCAAUGCUCCAGGCACACACUCAGGUGAGAGGAGUUGGUUUAUGAGACAGUGACUGCAUAUCAUUCAUGUUCUAUUCACAGUUACAGGAAAGGAAGACUAGCAGGGAGUGCUGCCUGGUAAUGAAGAGAACAGCAUUUCCCAAGCUCUUUGCUGCCCCAGGGCCUUUGCACGUGCUGCCCUGUGUUUGAAAUCUUCCUUGCUAGCUCCUUCUCCUCCAUCAACGCAAGCGUUACCUCCUCCAAGAGGGACCUGACCACCCUAUCUCAGGCACCUGUCAAGCUCUCUGGAUACACUUAACACCAAAUGAAAGUUUUGGUCAUUUUCCUGGCAGCAAAUCCUUCUCCCUACCCCUCGCCAAGGUAUCAGUGUUCAGUCCUAUCCCAGAGACGAAAUGCACUAGUUUUGGGUACCCGGGGUAGAUGGGUUUGUGGAAAAUCGAUUCAUAUCUUGGAAAUUAAGCAUCUUUAGAUGGUAACGAGUCUGGGUUUCUACCCAAGUCUUUCUCCUUGUUCCCAUGUGGCCCCAGGAAACUAAACAGGACCGAGGAGAGGUCCUCCUGAGUGUCUCAGGAAGCUGCAAAGGUCUUCAGGGCUCAGAUCUCUUGAACGGAGACUAAUGAUGCACCUAAGUUAAUUCACUCGACUCUGGGACUAUGAGGCAGUUCAUCCACACGCUCCAAACUCCAGCUUAUUGUAGGAGACCAGUGCCUCGAUCUCAUGAGGUCAUCUCGACGCCUCAGCUGUAACCCUUGGAGAACCUGUGGUCUCUGCUCCUCUGCCUGCUGACAUGAUCAUCCCAGGUGCAAAACAGGACUGGACAAGACCCAGGUUUUGAGGGCCACAGGCUGUAGGAUUCUGUAUGAUGCUUCGCCACCCCAGCAAGUGCCACACCUCCCUGGACUGGAUUGAGAUGGCAGCUCUUCGGCCCCUUUCCAGGUGCAUCUCUCCCUGCAGGGCCUGCAGAGGCAGCCCCUCAUUGGAGGCCCCCCUGCUGGUCCAGACUCUCAUCCUUUCCACCAUGGCCCCCAGCAGCCCUCCUGUCUGCAACCUGGGGUCCUUCCAUCCAUUCUCUGCACAGCGACCAGAAGCUUUUCGAGAGGGACGUCUGACAGUGCUCCUCCUGGGUCCUGCAGGAUGGCGGGCAAACUCCUUGGCGUGUAGCGUGACAGUGACAUGUGGGCCCUCUGGAAUGCCAUGCUCCUGAUGUCUCUCCAUGUGUGGGCGCCCUGUGCUUGAUGGAAGGGGAGCUGUGGGCACAGCCUUGACAGUCUAGGAGGGGGUGCCUCAGGGAGAAGGUGGGGCAGGGGUGCGCCCAGCAGCACUGGUGCAGGAACAGAGGCUGGAAACCAACUGCAUCUGGCGUUGCUUCAUGGACCCACCUGGGCACCACUGGUGGUAGGGGCUGUUUUUGCUUUCUUACAAAGACCCAAAUGAAGAGAGUAGGAGGUAGAGAAACCUAACUUUUGAUGCCAUAAAGGAGUGGGAACCAGGCUGCCUAGUGAUCCCAAGCUCCCACAUGCGCUUGCAGGCCGCUGUGGGGUGCUGUCAGCCAGUGUAGCCAGCUUCAACCCCGCCACACGCACGCUUUCUCUGCAUGGCUGUGGGGCUGCAUUGCAAGCCACACCGCAAUUUCGACUCCCACACGUCGAGUUGGCAUCCACGUCUCUAAGUGGGCCUGCCUUUCAUAUUUACAUUAAAGCCCGCAAUGUAUUCA
rnacentral:lncRNA from 10 species